ACUGUUUCUGUGUGUAGGCCCCACAGGGCAGCAGUGUUUUCUGGAUUUGAAAAAUUUAACAGAAAAGCUCUCAAAAAAUUGUAUUAUUUUAUCUGUCUUUUGUGGCAGUUUAUUGAAAGCUAUAAGAGGAAGCCAAAAACCACCAACAUUUUGAAUUUUUCCUUCCAAAGUCUUGAUUCCAGACCCUUGGUGGACAUUAUCUGAGUCUCGGGAUAUAGCAGGAAAUAGUUUAACCAGAGAUUUUGCUACCACUUAACAUGGGUUACUAACAUCACAAGCUAGCUCUAUCUUGGCAUUGCCUUCUCCACUGCAGCUCUUCAGCUCUGCCUAUUCAACAGUCUGGAGUCUGUAACAUCACCCUCACUUCCAUGUUCCAAAUUCCAUUAGGAUCCUUCAGGAUUCAAGGAACAAAAAUACCAGAUUCACAUUAAAAUAAUAAGGAAGUGUAUUUGGUUCAUGUACCUGCAAUAUUCAAGACUCUCUGUAUCUUUAGGACACAGCUCCAGUGUUGUGUGAUUCCCUGAGCUCUCCUUUUUCCCAUGCAUUGGCUAUUUCAUGUUAACAAAAUGGCCACAAGGAUUCCAGGCAUCUCAUUCACAUACCACCACAUCCAGAUUAAAAGAAAGAGUCUUUGUCCCAGAAUCUAAGCAAGUUCGGUCACAUGCCCACCACUGAACCAAUCACUGUGGCUUUGAUUGACUUAUUUAGGUACUACGUGCUCCAUUGCUAAAGCCAAGAACCAUGUAGGUCUGGAUGUCAGGCAUUCCUAAAAAGAGGCAGCUCUGAAGUGUCAGCUGAAACAUUAUGAGAUGUUACAUUUAGAAUGGAGAGUUGAUUUCUCAUAAAGGGUUACAGCCUGCAGAGUGGUCAUUUUGACAGGCUGGGAAACGUAGCCUCUGGUAGAAGCCAGAAGGCAGGUACAUUGAGGGAGGGGAGGAUGGAACAGGGAUUUAUGCUGAACAGGUUAGCCAAGUAUAAAUAUUUAGCAGGUUAUAAGAGUAGCUAUAAAUAUUCAUGAAGGGUGUCCUAACGCGUGUGCACUGAAUAAACAUGCAUGUUGCAUGUUCACUUUUGUGUGGAGACUUAACAUAUAAAUGCAUUACAAUUAGGCCUUGUAUGUCAAAAGGUGAAGCAGAGACACAGAGGCAUUCAAGUGCGCAGCCUCUGUAAACCAGCCAGAACCAGUCCAUGGUUGGUGGUCUUUCAUCAAGAGAAAGUUACCAAAAUCAACCUCUUGUCACAUCAGAGCUGUAGUGAUGGCUUGUGGAACAGAGGGGUGAAAUCAGGCUGCAUCUGGCAAUUGGUGAGCUGUAAUUGUUUCAAUAUUUCUUAUCUCGAGGCCAGUGCUUGUUUAGCUGCUAGAGAAAAAGAAAAAUCUUGUGGCAGGUGGAACAUAGUUUAUUCUUUAAGUACGGGGGUAUGUGACUUAACUCUUGCUUGGCGUGACCUUAGGUCUUGUUUACAAUUUAGUAUCUUAUAGCCAUAAAGAGUCCAUUUUGUCAGUCUUAUGAUCUCCAUUUUAACAUUAACACUGGUCAGUUGUUGUGUCUAAGUUGUAAAACAGAGUGGGUGCAAUGAGGUGUGUACAAGCUCCCAUUCUGUCAUGGCUAGGAACUCAGUUUUUAAGGUUUCUCUGGGGUCCCCCAGCCAAGAGGGGUCUUUUCAGUCAGUUGGGGGGCUUAGAAUUUUAGGAUUUUAUUUUUAGUUCGCAUGAGGAUAUACGACAUUUUGAAGGAAACUCUACCUGAUGCACAAGAAUCUGGGCCAUUAACUGGCUCCUAUCAGGUCCUGCCCUGUGCCCCAAGAGAUUCAGGGAGGCCGUAAAGGAAUCAAGCAACCACUAAAAGGUUAGGCAAUAUUACCAUCACUGGUGACUAUAAAUCAAAGACCCCUUUCAUUUUCUUAGCAUCAUGUAAACCUCCCGAUUCUGGUGUAAACCAAAAAGGGGAAGACAAUCCCAUAAUGCCUGAGAUGGAAUUUCCUAUAGCUUGGUGGUAUGUGGGCUGGGAUUUACAAUUAAGCUGAUAAAGAAAAUGUAACAAUGUUUUCUCGCAGCACUGAUUCCAUGAACAGAGAUUCAUGCCACUGUGUAGUCUGCAACAAAAGAAAAAAAACUUCAAAGGGUAGACAACAGCCAAAUACCGAUCAACGGCAAUGCAGGAAAGACACACACAGAGAUCCAAUAUUGGCUGGAAUGCUGACUAUAAUCACAAAGAUGUAAACAAUGGGAAACAAAUAGUGAUCCAGGUCAUGCUGUUCUUCAAUACAUGUGCUGUUCAUUUUUUCCUUUUUAAGGUAGCAAUUAUAUUAGUUCUUAGAAAGUAAACAGAGAAGUCUUGUC
rnacentral:lncRNA from 1 species